AGUGAACGCUGGCGGUAGGCCUAACGCAUGCAAGUCGAACGGCAGCACAGUAAGAGCUUGCUCUUACGGGUGGCGAGUGGCGGACGGGUGAGGAAUACAUCGGAAUCUACUUUUUCGUGGGGGAUAACGUAGGGAAACUUACGCUAAUACCGCAUACGACCUACGGGUGAAAGCAGGGGAUCUUCGGACCUUGCGCGAUUGAAUGAGCCGAUGUCGGAUUAGCUAGUUGGCGGGGUAAAGGCCCACCAAGGCGACGAUCCGUAGCUGGUCUGAGAGGAUGAUCAGCCACACUGGAACUGAGACACGGUCCAGACUCCUACGGGAGGCAGCAGUGGGGAAUAUUGGGCAAUGGGCGCAAGCCUGAUCCAGCCAUACCGCGUGGGUGAAGAAGGCCUUCGGGUUGUAAAGCCCUUUUGUUGGGAAAGAAAAGCAGCAGGUUAAUACCCCGCUGUUCUGACGGUACCCAAAGAAUAAGCACCGGCUAACUUCGUG
rnacentral:rRNA from 1 species